rnacentral:tRNA from 1 species
GGACAAGUAGCUCAGCCGGUUAGAGCGCCACGUUGACAUCGUGGAGGUCGGAGGUUCAAGUCCUCUCUUGCCCACCA